rnacentral:rRNA from 1 species
UUUUCGGAUGGAUCUUGGAUUGACUGAGCGGCGGACGGGUGAGUAACGCGUGGAUAACCUGCCUCACACAGGGGGAUAACAGUUAGAAAUAGCUGCUAAUACCGCAUAAGCGCACGGUUCCGCAUGGAACAGUGUGAAAAACUCCGGUGGUGUGAGAUGGACCCGCGUCUGAUUAGCUAGUUGGCAGGGCAACGGCCUACCAAGGCGACGAUCAGUAGCCGACCUGAGAGGGUGAACGGCCACAUUGGGACUGAGACACGGCCCAAACUCC